rnacentral:rRNA from 1 species
AGUGAACGCUGGCGGCAGGCCUAACACAUGCAAGUCGAGCGGCCGCGCGGGGGCAACCCUGGCGGCGAGCGGCGGACGGGUGAGGAAUUCGUCGGAAUCUGCCUUUUUGUGGGGGCUAACGUAGGGAAACUUACGCUAAUACCGCAUCCGUCCUACGGGAGAAAGUGGGGGACCGCAAGGCCUCACGCAGAAAGAUGACCCGACGACCGAUUAGCUAGUUGGUGGGGUAAAGGCCCACCAAGGCGACGAUCGGUAGCUGAUCUGAGAGGAUGAUCAGCCACACUGGGACUGAGACACGGCCCAGACUCCUACGGGAGGCAGCAGUGGGGAAUAUUGGACAAUGGGCGCAAGCCUGAUCCAGCCAUGCCGCGUGUGUGAAGAAGGCCUUCGGGUUGUAAAGCACUUUUGUCCGGAAAGAAAUCCCUGGAGCUAAUACCUUCGGGGGAUGACGGUACCGGAAGAAUAAGCACCGGCUAACUUCGUG